GUCUUCGUGGCUCAGUUGGUUAGAGCGUUGGUCUCAUAUCACAGAUUGAUCUGAUAGCACGGCAACGCGUUAAGUUAUCCAAAGGUCGCGAGUUCGAGUCUCGCCGAGGACA
rfam:Blumeria graminis f. sp. tritici 96224 unplaced genomic scaffold Scaffold-394, whole genome shotgun sequence.